GCGGUAGGCCUAACACAUGCAAGUCGAACGGCAGCACAGUAAGAGCUUGCUCUUACGGGUGGCGAGUGGCGGACGGGUGAGGAAUACAUCGGAAUCUACUUUUUCGUGGGGGAUAACGUAGGGAAACUUACGCUAAUACCGCAUACGACCUACGGGUGAAAGCAGGGGAUCUUCGGACCUUGCGCGAUUGAAUGAGCCGAUGUCGGAUUAGCUAGUUGGCGGGGUAAAGGCCCACCAAGGCGACGAUCCGUAGCUAGUCUGAGAGGAUGAUCAGCCACACUGGAACUGAGACACGGUCCAGACUCCUACGGGAGGCAGCAGUGGGGAAUAUUGGACAAUGGGCGCAAGCCUGAUCCAGCCAUACCGCGUGGGUGAAGAAGGCCUUCGGGUUGUAAAGCCCUUUUGUUGGGAAAGAAAAGCAGCAGGUUAAUACCCCGCUGUUCUGACGGUACCCAAAGAAUAAGCACCGGCUAACUUCGUG
rnacentral:rRNA from 1 species